rnacentral:lncRNA from 1 species
UAAGAUAAAUGUUCUUCCUUCUCAUAGUUUUGUGUUCCAACGGCUUUUCUUCGUAGAAAGUAGUGAAAUCAAAGAACCCAGCAGAGUAUUGAACGCCGAAAUCAAGGAAUUUCAGGUCAAUUGAUAAGUGUAACACGACUUCGCACUAAUUUUUAAAUUUCUAUAGAAAGUUAGGAAUUUUACUGACAACAAAGGAAAUCCCGAAUUGUAACUCAAUAUCUAACGGUAAUGGAGAAUUCAUGGGAAGGGAUAUUGUAAAAUUAAGAUUCUUUUUGGGGAAAAUUGGUAAAUCGUGCUAGGGUUUGUGAAUUUCAGAAAUUGAUAAAACUUGGACUUUUAUCUUCUUCAUCCUCAAUAGUCCAGAAAGAGGAUCGUCAUUCAUGUAGCUAAGGGCCCAAAGUUAACUCCUUUUUCCUGUAAGACCUUCUUCGGCGCUUCAUUUGCUAUAUCUAUGAUUAUUUUUGUUUGAAAUCUGUUGAUUUUGAUCUGUAAAUCAAUAUUUGAUUUUUUUAAUGGAUAUUAUAGUAGGGCUGGAUUCAUGUUGAUUUUUGUUUUACCUAAACCUGCCAAAUGUUGAAGUGUAGCUGUUUACAGCAGAGUUUAAACACAAUUCAUUAUUGCUAAAAUGUUGGCAAUAUAAGAGUUUUGCUUGGCUGAAGUUUUAUUAUUGAGCAUCAAUAAAUACCCUAAAGAUUAUAUUGUACAAACUAUGUCAUUGUGAUGGGGCUAUACACGGGCAACUACCCACUAAACUAUAUUAGAAGUGCAAGUUAACAGAUGAGGCAGGCGGCUCUUUGUCAACAUCUCUGCUUGCCGAGGACAUUGGUGUUUCAAAAAGAAUUCACGGUAAUUAGCAGCUACCUCUAUUAAUAAUCGCCGGUUCAGCUUUAUAUUUAUCCUUUUGUUUUGCAAUUUUUUGGUCACUUUUCCUUUGGAUUUAGCUACCUUAUUUUGUAAUUUGCAUAAUCUAUGCUUGUUUGUCGAAGCUAAAUUUUCAGAGACGAGCUAAAGGCCAAAGAAUUUCAAGGUGCCUGAUGAUAACAUAUGAUGGGGUAGAGGUUAUAUCCAGUCGAUUGCAUUUAUCUCAAGUUUGCUGAGAAACUAAAUUAUUUUCUUAAAUUCUCUUA